rfam:Triticum aestivum genome assembly, contig: Triticum_aestivum_CS42_TGACv1_scaffold_222830_3B
UUUGUACUCCCCCCAUCCCAAAAUUCUUGUCUUAAAUUUGUCUAAAUACGGAUGUAUCUAGUUACAUUUUAGUGUUAGAUACAUCCGUAUCUAAACAAAUGUAAGACAGGAAUUUUGGGACGGAGGGAAUACUAC